CCGCUGGUCGUCUAGUUGGUUUAUGGCACUGGACUGUAAUAUCAUAAAAAUCUGCUAUCCAGGUGUCGUCGGUUCGACUCCGACCCAGCGGA
rnacentral:tRNA from 1 species